GACGAACGCUGGCGGCGUGCCUAACACAUGCAAGUCGAGCGGGGUCCAUCCGGUAGCAAUACUGGGGAAGACCUAGCGGCGAACGGGUGAGUAACACGUGAGAAACCUGCCCGAAGUCUGGGAUAACCCGAGGAACUCGAGCUAAUACCGGAUGCCUUCUUCUGAUCGCAUGGUCGGAUGAAGAAAGAUUUAUCGCUUCGGAGGGUCUCGCGGCCUAUCAGCUAGUUGGCGGGGUAACGGCCCACCAAGGCGUCGACGGGUAGCUGGUCUGAGAGGACGAUCAGCCACACUGGGACUGAGACACGGCCCAGACUCCUACGGGAGGCAGCAGUGGGGAAUAUUGCGCAAUGGGCGAAAGCCUGACGCAGCAACGCCGCGUGCGGGAUGAAGG
rnacentral:rRNA from 1 species